GACGAACGCUGGCGGCGUGCUUAACACAUGCAAGUCGAACGGAAAGGCCCUGCUUUUGUGGGGUGCUCGAGUGGCGAACGGGUGAGUAACACGCGAGUAACCUGCCCUUGACUUUGGGAUAACUUCAGGAAACUGGGGCUAAUAUCGGAUAGGAGCUCCUGCUGCAUGGUGGGGGUUGGAAAGUUUCGGCGGUUGGGGAUGGACUCGCGGCUUAUCAGCUUGUUGGUGGGGUAGUGGCUUACCAAGGCUUUGACGGGUAGCCGGCCUGAGAGGGGGACCGGCCACAUUGGGACUGAGAUAGGGCCCAGACUGCAACGGGAGGCAACAGUGGAGAGUAUUACACAGUGGGCGGGAGCCAGAUGCGACAACGCCGCGUGCGGGAAGACGGGCUUCGGGUUGUGAACCAAUGUCGCCUUUGACGAGGCGUGAGUGACGGUAAUGGAUAAAGAAGCACCGGCUAACUACGUG
rnacentral:rRNA from 1 species